rnacentral:rRNA from 1 species
UACGUAGGGUCCGAGCGUUAAUCGGAAUUACUGGGCGUAAGCGUGCGCAGGCGGUUUUGUAAGCCAGAUGUGAAAUCCCCGGGCUCAACCUGGGAACUGCAUUUGGGACUGCAAGGCUUGAGUACGGCAGAGGGGGGUAGAAUUCCUGGUGUAGCAGUGAAAUGCGUAGAUAUCAGGAGGAACACCGGUGGCGAAGGCGGCUACCUGGACAGAAACUGACGCUGAGGCACGAAAGCUAGGGGAGCAAACAGG